rnacentral:rRNA from 2 species
GGGGCGGGUGCUAUACAUGCAGUCGAGCGAACAGAUAAGGAGCUUGCUCCUUUGACGUUAGCGGCGGACGGGUGAGUAACACGUGGGUAACCUACCUAUAAGACUGGGAUAACUUCGGGAAACCGGAGCUAAUACCGGAUAACAUUUGGAACCGCAUGGUUCUAAAGUGAAAGAUGGUUUUGCUAUCACUUAUAGAUGGACCCGCGCCGUAUUAGCUAGUUGGUAAGGUAACGGCUUACCAAGGCGACGAUACGUAGCCGACCUGAGAGGGUGAUCGGCCACACUGGAACUGAGACACGGUCCAGACUCCUACGGGAGGCAGCAGUAGGGAAUCUUCCGCAAUGGGCGAAAGCCUGACGGAGCAACGCCGCGUGAGUGAUGAAGGGUUUCGGCUCGUAAAACUCUGUUAUUAGGGAAGAACAAAUGUGUAAGUAACUGUGCACGUCUUGACGGUACCUAAUCAGAAAGCCACGGCUAACUACGUGCCAGCAGCCGCGGUAAUACGUAGGUGGCAAGCGUUAUCCGGAAUUAUUGGGCGUAAAGCGCGCGUAGGCGGUUUCUUAAGUCUGAUGUGAAAGCCCACGGCUCAACCCGUGGAGGGUCAUUGGAAACUGGGAAACUUGAGUGCAGAAGAGGAAAGUGGAAUUCCAUGUGUAGCGGUGAAAUGCGCAGAGAUAUGGAGGAACACCAGUGGCGAAGGCGACUUUCUGGUCUGUAACUGACGCUGAUGUGCGAAAGCGUGGGGAUCAAACAGGAUUAGAUACCCUGGUAGUCCACGCCGUAAACGAUGAGUGCUAAGUGUUAGGGGGUUUCCGCCCCUUAGUGCUGCAGCUAACGCAUUAAGCACUCCGCCUGGGGAGUACGACCGCAAGGUUGAAACUCAAAGGAAUUGACGGGGACCCGCACAAGCGGUGGAGCAUGUGGUUUAAUUCGAAGCAACGCGAAGAACCUUACCAAAUCUUGACAUCCUUUGAAAACUCUAGAGAUAGAGCCUUCCCCUUCGGGGGACAAAGUGACAGGUGGUGCAUGGUUGUCGUCAGCUCGUGUCGUGAGAUGUUGGGUUAAGUCCCGCAACGAGCGCAACCCUUAAGCUUAGUUGCCAUCAUUAAGUUGGGCACUCUAGGUUGACUGCCGGUGACAAACCGGAGGAAGGUGGGGAUGACGUCAAAUCAUCAUGCCCCUUAUGAUUUGGGCUACACACGUGCUACAAUGGACAAUACAAAGGGCAGCUAAACCGCGAGGUCAUGCAAAUCCCAUAAAGUUGUUCUCAGUUCGGAUUGUAGUCUGCAACUCGACUACAUGAAGCUGGAAUCGCUAGUAAUCGUAGAUCAGCAUGCUACGGUGAAUACGUUCCCGGGUCUUGUACACACCGCCCGUCACACCACGAGAGUUUGUAACACCCGAAGCCGGUGGAGUAACCAUUUAUGGAGCUAGCCGUCGAAGUGACAAAUA